ACUUGUGCUCUUCCGCUGAGGAGGCUGAGGCAGCUACCGGCAAGUGGACGGCUGAAGAUGAUGAGGAUGACAGUAUCCACAACAAGAAGCAGAAAAGCAACACAGAUGA